rnacentral:rRNA from 1 species
GUGGGGAAUCUUGCGCAAUGGGCGAAAGCCUGACGCAGCCAUGCCGCGUGAAUGAUGAAGGUCUUAGGAUUGUAAAAUUCUUUCACCGGGGACGAUAAUGACGGUACCCGGAGAAGAAGCUCCGGCUAACUUCGUGCCAGCAGCCGCGGUAAUACGAAGGGGGCUAGCGUUGCUCGGAAUUAUUGGGCGUAAAGGGCGCGUAGGCGGACAGCUUAGUCAGAGGUGAAAGCCCAGGGCUCAACCUUGGAAUUGCCUUUGAUACUGGCUGUCUUGAGUGUGGGAGAGGUGAGUGGAACUCCGAGUGUAGAGGUGAAAUUCGUAGAUAUUCGGAAGAACACCAGUGGCGAAGGCGACUCACUGGCCCAAUACUGACGCUGAGGCGCGAAAGCGUGGGGAGCAAACAGGAUUAGAAACCCCUGUAGUCC